rnacentral:misc_RNA from 1 species
CAUAUUUCAACAAUCUGUCUUGCUUUUUUGCGAUGCAAAAUACACCAUCGCGAUAAAGAUUCAAUGCUCUGUUGUGAGUUGUUGAGUUUUGACAACUUUUCAUUUAAUAUCUGCACAUCAAAAACAUCAUUGCUCAUCCUGCUGCUUUAUGAGUCUUCACAUAUCCUGCCAAAUUCCCUUAUAAGAGCAUAGUCACACUGUUCCACACUUUUUCCUUCCCUCCACUAACCCAUGCAAUGAUGUUCAAUCAUGAGCCCUCAAUUUUUGUCUCCAAUUGUAGGAUUUCCCUAAUUCACCUGCAAAGAAAGGGAAACGUCAAGCGAAUUAGGAAUAAGGUUCUGCGAAUUAGAAAAACCCUAGAAAUUGAGAAGUCGUUGCUUUCGUGCAGAGAGAGAGACCCACAGAGAGGUGGAAAACUG